AUCCAGCUGACGAAUCCCAAGUAGGACGAAGUAUCGCUCAUCCUGGAU
rfam:Schistosoma mansoni, Puerto Rico, WGS project CABG01000000 data, contig: 0041